rnacentral:rRNA from 1 species
AUUGAACGCUGGCGGCAUGCCUUACACAUGCAAGUCGAACGGCAGCACGGGUGCUUGCACCUGGUGGCGAGUGGCGAACGGGUGAGUAAUACAUCGGAACGUACCUUAUCGUGGGGGAUAACGCAGCGAAAGUUGCGCUAAUACCGCAUACGCCCUGAGGGGGAAAGCGGGGGACCGUAAGGCCUCGCGCGAUUAGAGCGGCCGAUGUCUGAUUAGCUUGUUGGUGAGGUAAAAGCUCACCAAGGCGAUGAUCAGUAGCUGGGCUGAGAGGACGAUCAGCGCACCUGGGACUGAGACACGGCCCAGACUCCUACGGGAGGCAGCAGUGGGGAAUUUUGGACAAUGGUGGCAACCCUGAUCCAGCAAUGCCGCGUGAGUGAAGAAGGCCUUCGGGUUGUAAAGCUCUUUUGUCAGGGAAGAAACAGCAGCUCUAACACAGUCUGCGAAUGACGGUACCUGAAGAAUAAGCACCGGCUAACUACGUGCCAGCAGCCGCCGUAA